GAAAGUGAGACCGGUGGCUCAUCACUUUUGCUUAUGGUGAGAGAGAGAUCGAGACUCAGAUAAGAGAUGGAGAAAAGGAAAGAAUUACAUUACAUUUACAUAUUUACUUACACCUUCAUUUCAUUGCUUUCUUCUUUCUUUAUACAGUGUUACAAAAUGUCAAAAUCCCCUGAAGACGGAGAAACAAAGCUUCUCUCUCUUAGAUUGUUAAGAUCUGGAGUCGCUUUCCUGUCUCUGAUUCUCAUGAUGAAAAUGACCCAUCACCGCCCCUUUCCCUUGCUAUUUCCCUUCCUUGUUUUGUGCAACUCCCUUUUUCCUCCUUUAUUACCUUUCUUCUAUUAAUAUUUCUUCAUUCAUACCCUCCCUUCUUUAACCUUUGUCUCGUGCCCAAUACUUCGUAUGCUCUCUUGCUUGAAUUUUCAACUGAGUAUUAGGGUUUUACCAACUAUUACUUUGCUUGAGAGAUUUAGGGUUUCUGUUUGGAGACUCCCUCACCUCUAUGACUGUUAGCAGUUAAGUUGACUCGCAUUUUGAUAUUACCUGUUUGAUUCCACUGAAACUGCAUAGUUUAAGCAACAACAACCGGAGGGUGUGGUGUCCCAAGUAGAGAGAAGUGUAAAAUAUGUAGAAUUGGGUUGAAUGCUUUUGCUGAUAUAGAGAGGUAAAUAGGCAUGAAUCCACUUUCUUUUAAUAAGAAACUGUGCCUGUGGCAGUGGAGAUUAAACAAUAUAAUAAUUGUUGGAAUAGUCAAAUUCUUGGGGAAGGGUAAGUAGUGUAAUAAAUGAAGAAUGGGGAUUUAGAGAGCUGUGUUAGAUUUGCCAAAUAUGGAUGAGAAGAAUGUCUGAGCUAAGCUCCUGUUUUGGAAACCAACAUGAGUCUGCAGAAGAAGCUGCUGCUCCUGUUUACU